rnacentral:rRNA from 1 species
UGAACGACUCUCGGCAACGGAUAUCUCGGCUCUUGNAUCGAUGANGAACGUAGCGAAAUSCGAUACUUGGUGUGAAUUGCAGAAUCCCGUGAACCAUCGAGUCUUUGAACGCAAGUUGCGCCCGAGACCUUCUGGUCGAGGGCACGUCUGCCUGGGCGUCACGC